AGACCUGAAAGAAAACAUACAGUUGAUCUAAGUGAACCAUCUCUCUGAUGUGGUCCUACCUCGUCUACAUUUCCAGCCUGAUGUAAUGUACAUACCACCUAAUCUAGUAACUGGCACAUAUUAAACGCUCGAAGAAUGGUAGCUGAUGUUGUUGCUGUUGUUUCUCAGGGACUCAAAAUAGACCUAGAAGAGUCCAUAGAAAGAACACUGAAUCUGGAGUCGGGGCUGCAGCUCUGCAUCUAAGACUCCAAAUAACUUUGGAUAAGUCACAUCAGCCUCUCUAGACCUCAGUUUCCUCAUCUAUAGUGACAGAUACAGCCAUAUGUCCUAUAAUUGGGUCCCUUCUAGCUCUAAUGUAAACAAGCCAAAACAAAACCAAAACAAACAUCAAUGAUAGAUCUUAGGGAUUCCAGCUAUGAUCUUCCUGGUGUGACCCCUGAUCAGAAACCAGGGAACCAACCCCGACCUAAAUGGUUCUUCUGGGGGUGUGUUUUUCCCACAGGCAGGACCAAUCCUCAGGGAGGCAGAAACUCUUCCUUGCCAAACUGGCUGCCAGUCAUACCUGCUGUGCCAUCCUGGAGAAGGAGGGAGAGAGUCUGUCAUGGAGCUUGUGGCAAAAUCCUUCUUCCUCCGCAAACACCAGCUAUGAUUAGCUGUGUCCUCACCACGAAACUGCAGGGCUGUGUGCGGGUUAGAAGAGGCAGAGAGACAGCACAGCCUGGGGACGUGCAGGUGUGAAGGUGCGUGUGCGCAGGAGUGACCCUGUACACACCGGUACAAGGAGCAAACAGAGAAAGGAGUCCAGGAGAAGAAAAGAAAAGCCUCCCUGGGCAAUCGUGGUCAUAAAAUGCACAUCAAUCCUUAUAUUCAGACUGGAGCAUCAAGGUCUGCCUUCAGGGUCACACACACCAUGAGCAUGUCCAUUUUGGAAAUAGUGUGAUAUAUUUCCAAUUUCCCUGCUCACCUUUUUACAGGAAUGACCAUCCUGUGGCUACAACUCUCAAGACUGUUGCUUCAGCGAAACCAACAUGGAACUGCAGCCUGUGCUUGGGUAGAUUCUCAUCUGUCUGGCCUGUUCUGCCUGAAGGUGAAAGGAGGGGGCGAGGGUGGGGUCCCAGAGAGAAGAGGCCCCAAGAGACUGAGGCCCUAGGCUCUGCCUGCUGCCAGUGUCCCACCUGGGAAACCUCCACAGACAGAAAGGCAAGUGACAGCAUCCCCACAGGUAUUUGAAAGCCUUCCUCUCUUGAGCUCAGGGCAGCAUUCAGUAUGUGACCACUGAAGUGAGUCUGGGUAUUUUCCUGAUAGGAAGCCAGAGGUAGCAGAGGCCCAUCCUGAGGAUUCAGGUUCUAAACCAGUCUGAGAAUCCUCAAGGUUACCUGGAGCCCUUGGACUUGAACCAGCCCUCACCUCAGAGACACAGGGAAUGAAGGUCAGAGCUAGAAAGGCCCUUAGCCACCUAGCCUGGUGCUGUCAUUUCUCAGGUGAGGAAACUGAGGCCCAGUG